rnacentral:tRNA from 2 species
GCACCGCUAGCUCAAUGGUAGAGCAGUUGACUCUUAAUCAAUUGGUUGAAGGUUCGAGUCCUUCGCGGUGCACCA